AUUGAACGCUGGCGGCAGGCCUAACACAUGCAAGUCGAGCGGAUGAAGGGAGCUUGCUCCUGGAUUCAGCGGCGGACGGGUGAGUAAUGCCUAGGAAUCUGCCUGGUAGUGGGGGGUAACGUCCAGAAACGGGCGCUAAUACCGCAUACGUCCUGAGGGAGAAAGUGGGGGAUCUUCGGACCUCACGCUAUCAGAUGAGCCUAGGUCGGAUUAGCUAGUUGGUGGGGUAAAGGCCUACCAAGGCGACGAUCCGUAACUGGUCUGAGAGGAUGAUCAGUCACACUGGAACUGAGACACGGUCCAGACUCCUACGGGAGGCAGCAGUGGGGAAUAUUGGACAAUGGGCGAAAGCCUGAUCCAGCCAUGCCGCGUGUGUGAAGAAGGUCUUCGGAUUGUAAAGCACUUUAAGUUGGGAGGAAGGGCAGUAAGUUAAUACCUUGCUGUUUUGACGUUACCAACAGAAUAAGCACCGGCUAACUUCGUG
rnacentral:rRNA from 1 species